rnacentral:lncRNA from 1 species
ACUAAACACAUUGUUUCGUUUAUAUUGAUACCUGAAGAUUUCAGUUUACAUAUUCAAUCAAAUAAAGGAUGAUACAAGCCUAGCUCUGACUUAAAUGGAAGUACACAUUUUGUUGUGUUUGUGUGUUUUAAUGCAUUGCCAAAAAUUGACAUCGUGUAAGUAUUCUUGUGUACUGUAUUAUUGUCGCAAAUAAAUUCAACUUAAAAAAAAAAACAUGCUUUGGAGAUCCAUCAUCUUGACUCUGGUUGAUAGUCUCAUUAUCAAUCAUACAACAUGUUUUUGUUUUAUAUUAAGGAAUCUUGAAUGUAAAUAUCAAAUGGAUAUAAUUACAUGUACUUGUUUUAAAUGGGUGUUUAUUAAGGUACGACUUUACAAAAUAGAACUUCUAGUGAAGUCUUACAAUGUUUUGUAUAAGUCCUUUAGGUGUUUGUAACUUUUUUUGGAGGACAUCGUUUAUAACAAAUAAAUAACGUGUUGUAGCUGGAGAUAAUAAUUUGAAUGUUUACAAAAAAUGAUGGAAUUUAAAAAAGGUCAAAACAUAUAUAUUUUAAGUUCACGACAAUGAUAAUGACAUUAGAUACUGAAUCAGCGCGCGGGCACACAAUCAAACAUUUAUGGUUUUAAACAUUAACCAAAAGGGCUUCCCAUUUGAAAUCAAGAUACAACAUUGCGUGAUAAGUUUGUAUCGGUUUGUUUUGAUCUGAUUUGUUAGGCGUUAUUUUUGUUUUAUCUAUUUGUCUUUGAAUUUUUAACAAGAAUACAUCUAUUGAACCACCCAACACUCCCCUAAUUCGUUUUCGUUACUUGUCUUAUUCAUUCCAUUUGCUUGUUUCAUUCAUUCCAAAUUUCGUAUUUUUUCAACAUUUUAAUACUGACGACCCUCACACCGAUCAUACUGACUUAUCAUAGUACAUGCAUUUAAAUAUAAUAACACAAUAGUGAACCGUUGAUUUAUGUACAAAAAGUUGUCUCGGGCCUAUUACAUCGUCUUGUUUACAAACAUUAUACAAGACUGUUUUAUUAUCAAGAUGGAUACAUAGUUAACCAGUGAAGUAGGUGAGAAGGUUAUCUAAAUACACAUACAGUGAAACUUGCGAAAUCCGAUCCUUGACUUAACCGAAUUUCUUUUAAAUGUCGUAAAAUAUUUUUUUUUUAUCAAGAUGCAUACAUAUUUAACCAGUGUAGUAAGUGAGCAGGUUAUCUAAAUGCACAUACAGUGGAACUUGCGAAAUCCGAUCCUUGAUUUAACCGAAUUUCUUUUAAAUGUCAUAAAAAAUAGCACUUAGUUGUUCAAUGUUAAUAAAGAGAAGACAUACCAUGCAGUGUAGGGAACGAUGUACAACAAAUAUUGAAAGGUGAUCAUGAAUAAUCAAAAGACAUACAUUCAUUGCAUUGUGUUAAUUUAUACGCAAGUAGUGGUGUCGCAUGUGUGUGUAAAAAUAAAUAUUUAUUUCUACAAUUUCAAAUGUUGCUACAUACAUCAACAAUAGUUUUUCCACUGUGAGGUUUUACAUCAACUUCAAAGAAAUGUGUAUACAAAUUAUUCUAACAUGACGUCCUUCAAACGCUUUGAGUACACACCCGUGGUAAUAUAUGAAUAUAUUUCAUGGGCUGUUCCCAUUGUACCCCAACGUCAUAUGUUUUUUUUAUAAAUGAGGAACCCGACGUCAUAGAACGAUGACGUAAUAAUAUAUUACGCAUUUUACGGGAAAAUACACGCUUGUGAAACCGAAAAUCAUCACAACAAGGAAACGUAAACAAACGAUGCUAAUUUUUUUUUUAUCUGCGUUUGGCUUAGAUACAUUUUCAUUUUAUAGUAUAGCUCAAAUUUUAGGCACCAUAUUUGAUUAAUUAAAUAUCUUGUUGUUAUAAUGUGUCGUGUAUGGUGUACUUAUCUGUAUAAUUAUAAAACGUAUCAUAACUGUAUUCCUGUCAUUAAAGUUGUAUUUCUCAUUGGUUAUCUUCAACGGUAGAAAUUUCAAAAUAGUUCAAGGACAUGUUAGCAUAUGUCGAUUCUAGAAAACAAAUAUCGUCAAAGAUUUUUUUAGAGAAUACCAGGAAUGAAACAAAAGUAAAUUUUAAUAAAAUACAAUUUUCACAGUCAAUUUAACUUCCUGUGAAACAAAUCUUGAUGGUUUAUUGAGUUUCAAAUAUCGAAGAGAUCCUGGGUUUAUGGUGUCUAAAAUAUUUGUUCUUUCUCUGAUAGACUCAUUUUUUAUAUUUGGCACUUUCAUAGUAAAAUAUGCAUAUUUUCAAGAAUCAUGAAAGAUUAAACAUGUUAAAAGUUGCAAUUGUCCGUUUUUUCCCUUUAAGUGUUUGCAGUGAAGACAUAUAACCACUAGUUUCGGCCUGUCAUAACGAAAAUACAAGAAAGUAGUACAUAUUUUAAACACAAUAUUUCCUACUCAUAACUCCAUCUUUUUCAAAAGGUGAAAAAUAUACACCUACCUCAAAACUGCAUUUAAAAGCAAUAUAUAAUGCAAAAUUUUGAGUGUUCACGUUACAAUAAAAACAUUCAGCCGUAACGUAUAAAUUUGUGUGUGGUUACGUUUUAAAAUGAUCUCAAUGCGUCAAGAGCACUUAUAGAAAAUUGCAGAAUUUUAUUUCAAAUUAAUUUGUACAUUUUUUCGAGCUAUAAUGCAUAAACUCUUUCUGUUUUGCAUCACAUAGGUAUACAAAUUUUGGCUGAACAAAACCUGCGAAAACGGCAUAUGAUAUGCAAGUAGGGUGCAACACAUGUGGGUUUACAUUAGGUAUAGUGUGAUCUUCAUUAUUAUGUUCAUCUUUAAGUCUGCCCUAAGUAUAGAUAAAUUUAAAAAAGAUUUCAAUAUUAUCAAAGUGUUGUUAGAAAGAGAAAUAAGCAUACCCGUUCAUAAUUCACAUAAACUGUUGUUUUUUCGACACUCGAAAUGUUCUUAUAACGAACAGGAGAAACUAGUGAAGCCGUUCUGCUACGUUUCUGUAGGGUUUUCAGUCAAACGAUGAUUUCUUGAUACGAAUUUUGUAUAAAAUAACAUUUCUGUUAACCAUUCUGGAUGAUGUGCUGAUAUGCCUAUCGAAGAAAUUAGUGAAUGUUAUUUACUAUGGUAAAUCAAAGAGUUGGAUCUUCUGAAACAUCGCGAUAAUCUGGUGUAUGGGCGCUUGUGUAGCUUACGCCAUAUCGAAAUAUUAUUUUCCAGUUUUAAAUGAAAAGUCUCCAUGUUUGUUUUUUUAAGAACACAAGUUGAAGCGAACAAAAAACAUCAAGAUACACAAAUACGUAUUGUAGUGAAACAAAUGUGUUUAAGUAAAACUAUAGCUAAUUUAAAACAGAUAUAAAAACUCGAUUUGAAAAGAGUUUUUUUAUUAGUGCUUGUAAAAUACAAUAUUCUUGAACAUGUUAAAGAACUUUUGAAAAUAUAUAAAACCGAUUCCAAAAAAGCAUACCUCAAUGUCCAACACACGCAUGUAUAAUGAACACCUGACCGAUUUUAUUACAUAAUUUCAUACUUAGUUUUAAAUUUUUUUUUAUGCUUUGAUGCUUUGCUACAGAUAAUAACAUUUAUAACUUUUCUUUUCUUUAAACAUUGUUAAACGUGAAAAAAGAAACAUAAAUGCAAACAAAGUAAAUGAUUGAAAUAUGUGAUAAAUUAUGACAGAUAUUUAUUCUUAGGUAACAUCAUAACAUGUCUAUUUUUACGAAUUGUAAUGUACCGACUAUGUCACACUUCCAAUCGCUACAUUUUGACUGCGUAAAAGUUUGCUGACAGGAUGAAAUAUACAUUUUAAGACACACCUACCUUGUCGAUUCAUUUGGAAUAUUCCCUUAGUGAGUUCAAGAAUAUUUUAUUGAGAAUUAUUUUUGAGUAGACAGGUCAAUUUAGAUAAUUCGAAAAUCAAUAAACUAAUGCAUUAUGUUUGUACAGAGAUUUAAAAGUUUCAAAUAUCUGAAAUUAAUGAAUGACAGUCCUGAAGUUCACGAGCUUCAGUUGUUCAAGGAAAUUUCACUAUGCAAAAUGCAGUUUUACUAGUGACGUAGACCCAAAUAAAUUCAUAUUAUACGGAAGCUACUUAACAGCUAUAUUAUAAUAAUUCCUUAUUAAAUGAAUAACACUAAGAACUACUGCGUUGUUACAUUGCAUGGACAUUUUUGUAUUUGUCAAUACAAAAUUGAAUACCUGUGUCAUGUGUGUGUGUGUCAUUUUGGUAUCUUGUGGACAGUUGUUUCUUUUGCAAUCAUACUACAUCUUCAUUUUUAUAAUCAUAAAUGUGAUAGUGAAGAGGAGCUUAUAAACAAAAUGUAUUUGAAGUAUCGUUUGUCUAGGCUACGAGGGAUAAUUCAAAUUGAAAUAUGACUUAAAAUGUUCAGUCCAUUUCAGAUUAAGGAUAUGUCCGAAACUUACUGUUAGUUUAAGUUAGUUUUAAGUGAUGUCGCAUUCCUGAACGUAUCCAUCUUUUUUAUAUUAAGUCAAAGGACUUUGAAAAAUCAUUAUCAUUCAAAGAUGUUUUUUUCUCAAGACGUUAGCAGUUAAUGUUAUAACAUUACCUUUAUGUGUGGACAAUUACUGUUUUCUGUUUUCAUAUCAAUAUGAGGGAUAUGUAUACUAUAUGGUAUAGUCGUAAUCCAGCGUAAGCGAAUUACUAAUUCCCUUUUAUUCAUGAGAUUAUUAUAUUUUUCUAUAUCGCACGCAUACAGUUACCUAAUUAUAAACUACAACCCCUUAUCAAAAUGAGUAUGCGCAUUGAUACAGUGACAACUACUAAUUUAUAUGACAACCAUAUAUUUAUGCUUGAAUACUUGAGAAACUAUAUGACAAAGUUUGAAAUACGACGGUUAAUUUCCUUUCGUUUGAUGUGUUUGAGCUUUUGAUUUUGCCAUUUGCUUAAGAAUUUUCCUUUUUGAAUUUUCCUGGGAGUUUGGUAUUUUUGUUGCUGUACUAUUUUAUUAAAAAACAAAAACAUGUCAAUACUUCAACACAUAAAAAAGAUGUAUAACGAACUGAUAAUUAAAGUAAUAACAUUAACGGUACCAUUUUUUCUACACCCGAUGGGGAUUUCCACAAUAAAAUUUUGAUCAUAAGGUACUUGGAGGCUCCUUUUCUAAUUAUACUAACAGAUAUUAACUUAUAGCUUAGAAAAUCAAAUGCCCACACACAAGUGGAAUUAAUGAAGUAAAUGAGUUAGUGAUCAGAUGGGUCAUUGUUGACAGUUUGACUCCCCGAAUCUUUAUUUAAAAAAUGGAAUAUGUAUACUGUUUUAUAUUUUCCUGUGCGUGUAUAUGUGGUCAUAUCGUAGCUGCAUCUUUCGUAACAAUAAACAUAUAUUCUUAACAAUGUUUGUAGAAAAUGAGUCAGUAAAUUCAUUCGAAAUCCUCUUUCUUUUAGAAAUUUACUACUUUGUUCUGAUUGGAUAAUCUUUUCUUUUAUAGUUUUGAUUACUUCAAACAAAAGGUAGAAAAAAGAAAAAUAUCUUUUGAACAUCUCUUUAACAGGAUAUUUUUCUCUUUAAGAGCGCACAAGCGAUAUUAUUCAAAUUAUUUUAAACAUGUCAAGUGUUACUUCUUUGUACAAUUAUCUUAUAAAUAAGGACUUCCAAGUGCACUCAGCAUUCAAUUCGAUAUAUCCACGUAUAGUGACAAAAGUAAACGUAUGGCCAUUGGAGUAGAAACUGAUGAUUGUUAAAAAGAUAUAACAAAAUGGGCAUUCCGAACUAUAGCGUCAAUUUUUUGAAGUAGUUGUCGUCCCAAAAAACACAUUACUAAUAAUUCUUUGUUAAAAGUUAAAAGAUAAAAAACAAGUCAUUACAUUUUUGGAACGUUCAUGUAAGGUGGUCAUGUGAAUUAUCAUAUCGUCGCUGGGCUUCUAAAAUGUUGUAAAUUACAAAUUUUUCAAGAUUUUUUUUCAUUCUCAAACAGGCUUUGAAAAUUUUGGCAAAAUGCAUGCUUCCAAAAUGUUGUAUGUGAACUUGAACAUUUUUGUAAAUAGCAGUGAAAUAAAAACGUUGACAUUUCUGGAUUAUCCAAGAACUUAAAUUAUUUCACAGAAAUAAAGAAAUGUACAAUUAUUUUUUCCCAAAGCCAUUCUACAACGAUUUUCAAGUUUUCAUUCACAUUUUGGAAGCAAACUUUACAAACAACUGACAUUGGCAAUUUGUAAUAUGUCUUAUUUCACACAUUUUGAUUGGUCUAACUGCAUGCUAUUUUGUGAUACCAAAGAUUUCUUCCCGCCCAGACCAUUGAUGUCAAAAAGUAUAUUUAGCCAAAAAGUCAUAUACGACAUUUUAGAAGCCCAGCGAUGAUAUGCAUUAUUGUAGUAUCUUUGUGUAGCACAUGGAGUGGUGUCGAAUAUUGGUGAAAAGUUAUCAUUACUUUAAUGUAAUUUGAUGGAACCCCAAUAAAAGCGAGAGGUUUAUCUAGCUUUAAAACUAGGUUUAUUCUACAAUUUUCUCCAAGUCGGGGUAUACCAUUUAUUGUCCAUUUGUUUGAUGUAUUUAGCUUUUGAUUUAUCCAUUUGAUUGAUGACUUUCCUUUUUGAAUUUUCGUAGGAGUUUAUUUUUUAGUGAGAUUACUAGUUUCCUUUGCUUCAUUGAAUCAUAAAAACCCUGAAACACUUCCAAGAGAGGGGCGAAAUAUACCCGAGAGACAUUCAAACUCAUAAACCAAUAAUAGCUCCACAUUUUGUACCCUUUUCAAGUAUUUAUAAAAUUAAUAUACCAUUUUCACAGCAAAUUAGAUCUGAGCUCGUCUAACAUAAAGAGUACAUUUGACCCUUUUUCUGUGAUUUACCAUUUGCGUUUUUUUUACCGUAUACUGCAUCAUUCCAAACAUUUACUUUACUAAAUUAUAUGAUCCCGUAAAGUUUUGAUAUGCUACAUUUCAUGUAAAAACCACAAUUAAGAACAUGGUAAAUGUUAAGCGAUCAAUCGGAUUCAGGAAGACUGUCUUAUGAACAUUAAGUCAUUACUUUUAAUAAAGAAUAUGUGGUAUGAUUGCCAAUGAAGCAACUCUCCACAAUAAACCAAACAUAACACAGAAAUUAGCACAUAUAGUUCACCCAACAGACUUUCAAAAUGAGCAAAGCAAAUACUGCAUAAUCAGGCCCCAAAAAGACAAAUGUAAAACGAUUCAAACGAGAAAACUAAUGGCCUAAUUCAGGUUCAAAAAAUGAACGAAAAACAUGCCCUGUUAUACAUAUCAUAGUAUUUUACUUUCUUCAUUUACUCAAUUUCGAGUUGCGCACAUUAUUUCGUUUACGCCCUCUCCAAAUUAGCACAUCUGUUCGCUUACAAAAUUUCGAAUGCAGCACAACUGUUUCAAACAGCAAGACAAUAAUUACUAAGUCUUUAAAACAAAACAAAAUCAUUUCUUACACAUCGAUAAAUAGUCAACAAGAUACUAUUGUCUUGAAAAAAGGAAAAGCAACCGUUCUACAUAAAUAAUAAAAGGACUGCACGAUAAAAGCAUAAAACAGUUUGUUCUCAGUUAGAAUAAUAUUUUUACAGUAGUUGUUUGCCAUUUUGUCUGCAUUCAAAGUAACAUUCUGUAUUAAAACUUAUUUAGAUGAAUUAGAAAUUAAAGCAAGGUCAUUGUAUAAAUAGAUUUAAAGGGAGCAUAACAGGGUCACAAACUUGACCUCUAAACAUGUAUAUCUCCGCUUUAUCUCGAUAUUCUAAAAACGAUAUGUAUUAAAAAGUAAAAUCACAGUAAAACUAAAUUCCGGAGAAAAUUUGUAACGGAAAGUGGAAAAACAGAUGGCAAAAUCAGAAACUCAAACAAAUGUACAACAAGUGUCAUAUUCCUGACUUGAUAUACGUAUAUUCUUAUGUAGAAUAUAUUGGAUUUAACCUUAUGUUCUUACUAGCUAAACCUCUCACUUAUAUGACAGUCGUAUUAAUUUGUCCAUUAAUUUGACAACGAUGUGUGAACAAAACAAACAUAAAUGAUAGGUAUAAAUGUAAAAAAUAGUUUUACAGCAGUCACUGUUGUGUAUUAUAAUUAUCACUAUUAAAAAAACAAAUAGAUACAUAAACAGACAUAUAUGUCAACAUUGAGCCAACAAACCUUUUGCGUUGCAUACUUAUGAUUAUAAUUUGGUAUGAUUAAGUCUUGUAACAGUGUAAAUGUGCACUGUACAAAUGCAUAUGCUCUCACCAAUGUUACCUAUUUUGAGUGGUCAAAAAUAAACUGCAACAUGUUGAACGACGAUCGAUAGUUCGAUGGAAAAAUUAUCAUACGGUUUACCUUUUAAAAAUCAAAAACUAUAUAGGAUACCAGUUAACCCUGUUCAAAUAUAUAAUAUACGACGUAUAUAAAGUUUUUGUAGUAUAGAUAUUUAUUUUAAUUCGUGUUAUUUUUCAGGUUUCACAGGAAACAUUUUGUAUUCAACCUUCAAUGCAAUUAUGGAGUUUGAUAUUGAUACAGGCAAUGUGACUGUACUUGUGGAGCAGAGCGACUAUGUGUACGCCAUGGACUAUGAUUACAAAAACAGAUUCAUCUAUUUUCCGAGAUUGUACACCCAUGACAUCGUUCGGUAUGUA